GGGGGAGUCGGGAGCGUUGUCGUCAUCCUCGUCUUCGUUGUUGUUGUUAAUGUGGAGCUUGGCUAUGGCGUAACGUCGCACGGUGCCAUAUUCUAUCAUAGGGUUUCGAUGUCGGAGCGAGUGCGAAGCAGGGCGGAGAGCAGAGAACGGAAGGCGCGAUCACGGUCUAGGGAAAGCAUGAGAGAUUCGAGGAUAGAGGGGGCAGUGGAGACGACGAAGGAGAGAGCGCAUAGGAGUUCGAGCGAUGGACGGAGACGGAGGUCGCGGUCGCGAGAUAGUAUGAGGGAUUCGAAGCGCAGGCGGAGGUCGCGGUCUAGAGAAAGCGCGAGGGAUUCAAAAACAGAACAGAGUUCGGACCGGAAGGCCCGCUCUCGAUCCAGGGAGAGUGUGCGUGACCGUGAUGUUGUUGGAGGAAGGGAUAGGAGGAGGAACCAUGGUGCAUCAGAGGAGGUUCAUACCAGGAGUUGUGGCAACGAAUCUAAUAGUGGUAGGCAUGGAUGGGAUGAGGAAGUUCAUGAUAGAAGAGGGAGGGGUGAGCAUAACCGCACCAGUGUAGAGCGGAGAGAAAGGUCGCGUUCUCGGGAGACCGUGCGAGAGAGGAGGGCCGGAAGUAGGGAGAGCUGGCGUUCGAGAGAGAGACGGGCCGGGAGUUCCGAGAGCAAUCGAGAUAGAGAAAGAAGGGCUGGGAGCAGAGAAAGCAUGCGAGAGAGGGAAAGAGAGAAAGAAAGAAGGGUUGGGAACAGACCUCGGGGUUAUGGAGAUGAAUAUUACGAUAGGAAUGCCGGUCAUGGGAGUCGAGAUAGUGCGUGGAAAAAUCAUUACGACGGGGGUAACAUUUUGUAUGAUUUAAACAGAGAUAGAGCGUAUGGGCCUGACAGACAUGGUGAUAGGGAUUGGGACAGGAGUCGAGACGGUGGUUACAGAAACCAUCAUGACCGAGAUCGCGGUGGCAUGGGUUUCCAUAAUCGUUCGUUUAGGGAAGACAUAAAUCACAUCAAUGAAGAGAAAGACAGAGAAGAAGAGGAUGACGAAGAGUACCAAGAGCGCAUCGAGUCGCAGUUGGCUGCUCAAGAAGAAGACGAUCCGGAAAGGAUUAAAGAAGAAAGUAGACGCCGAAGGCAAGCAAUUCUAGAAAAAUACAAACAGCAGCAUCAAGAGCAGCAGCAGCAGCAGGAGACAAAAGUGGACAUUUUUGAGGACCCGACGGUCAAUGCAGUUGAUAACGUCGUAUCUUCGAAGACAGAGCAAAAUCCGCCUUUAGCUCUUCAUGAAAACAAGGAGAUGCAGGCUGUGGAAGAGACUCUUAAUGGCGUGGAAAUCGACUUGGAGAAGAAAAAUGUCGCAAAUGGAAACGCUCAGAACGAGAUUGCACCAGAAGCAAGUGGCUUGGGACAGGGAUCACCGAAAAGCGAGCUAAAGAGGACCGAUGACAUGUUCUGCGACGAUAUAUUUGGGGAAUCACCCGCAGGGGGUCGGAGAAUGGGGAAAGGUGAUGGCUUAGCUAUUAACUCAAGUGGCCUGAAUGACAAUUGGGAUGAUCCCGAAGGACGUUACUGUUUUCGUAUCGGUGAGACCUUGGAUGGCCGCUAUAAUGUUUUGGCAUCACAUGGCAGCGGUGUAUUUUCAACUGUGGUUCGAGCGUAUGACACAAAAGCAGGUAAAAAUGAUCCCGAAGAAGUUGCAAUCAAGAUCAUUCGCAACAAUGAUACUAUGUACAAAAUUGGUCAACAAGAGCUGGUGAUAUUGAAAAAAUUAGCUGGAGCUGAUCCUGAGAACAGAAGGCAUUGUGUACGACUACUUUCUAGCUUUGAAUAUCGGAACCAUUUGUGUUUGGUCUUUGAGUCUUUGCACAUGAACCUACGUGAAAUUCUGAAAAAAUUUGGUCGCAACAUUGGCAUCAACUUGACUGCAGUCCGAGCUUAUGCAAAACAGCUAUUUAUCGCACUCAAACAUUUGCGGAACUGUGGAGUUUUGCAUUGCGACAUCAAGCCUGACAACAUGCUGGUAAAUGACGCCAUGAACGUGUUGAAGCUUUGUGAUUUUGGAUCUGCGAUGUUUGCUGGAGAGAACGAAAUUACACCUUACUUGGUCAGUCGAUUUUAUCGAGCACCGGAAAUUAUUCUUGGCUUGCCUUACGAUCAUGCUCUUGAUAUAUGGUCGGUCGGCUGCUGUUUAUACGAGCUUUACUCGGGAAAGAUGCUGUUUCCUGGGCAUACCAAUAAUGACAUGCUGCGACUGCACAUGGAGCUGAAGGGGCGUUUCCCCAAGAAGAUGCUCAGGAAGGCGCAAUUCCUGGAUCAGCACUUCGAUCAAGACCUGAAUUUUUGUGCUGUAGAAGAGGAUCCUGUCACUAAGAAGAUGGUGAAGAGGAUAAUUAGAAAUGAUCAUUUUAUUAAACCCAAGGAUAUGGGUCAUCUCAUUCACAGCUCAGGAACAGCUGAAGAAGACACAAAAUUGGUGAUGCAGUUCAAGGAUUUGCUGGAGAAGAUGUUUAUUCUGGAUCCAGACAAGCGGUUGACUGUGUCCGAGGCACUGAGUCACCCCUUCAUUUCGGGAAGGUGAUGCAGUUAUGCCAGUUUCUGGCGUAUACAUUGUUGUCUGUCUAGACAUCAAGUUGUGUCCUGCAUAUGUAGAAAGUAGGAAGGUAUUCGGAAUCGUAGAUUCUAUUGGACGAACAAACAAAUUCUGCUUUUUCGUUCUACAAUUUCAGCUAUUGAUCUUAAACUCUCUCUGUCGUGGCACUGCUCGUCGCGAGAUCUCGCCAAUUCAUCAAUGGCGCCUGGCGAGGGUGGGCUUCUGCUGUUGUUUCAGGGCAAUACCCACAGAGCAUAAAACUAUACGAUUGGAUGUCCUCAUAUCUAAGGAGAUUAGCCCCUUUGGUGCUUAAAGCGCUAGGUAAUGCAGCGACGAGAAGGAAGUGUGUAGGUGGUGGCUGCCUCUUUUCUUGUGAGCUCCUUGGGGAAGUGAUUUUUCAGACUGCCUAUAAUGGCCAGAUUGAGGUGGGUUACAUUUCUUGUCAUUAUAGGUUUAAAAAAUUAUCACCUUAGUCAUUGCAUUCUAUGAGUUGAAUCUUCGGUAUAUUCUUCUAGACGUAGAAAUCGUAAUCCUCCGCAUUCCUCUAUAUUGACCGCAGAGCAGGGUUAAUGUGGGUUUCUGUUAGAUAAUGAAGCUGCUGAUGAAACAUUGGUAGUUAUUUUUCGGCUCGUUGAGGUUCAGCUCGGGUAAGUCCCUGCUGAUCCGUGUGGCACGCUGGGCUCUGGUGACAUGAUACAUAUUCUUAAAUGCCUUAGAUUUUCUAAUAGAUACCCUUGUGUUCAGUCUGUGACACCAUUAAAUUGUCUUACGGAACGAUAUAGUGAGGAUUUCGUGAAUCCUUUGAUUCUAAAUGUCUUGGAUUUGCCUAAGCUACGUUUCAAAGCAGUGCAAGAAGAGGGGUUCCACAUCCACUCCGGAUGCGCUGCUUACAUUUAAUUUCUGCGCAAGCGCACUUAGAUGAAUGGAAGUAAAUACCCUAAUUACCAACAAAUUUUCUCGUUAUCUACUAAAAGAAACUGCGUACUAGUUUAUUGCAAGUAUGCGCUUAAUCCUUUGGGUUUGAAGCACAAUGGGAUGUGGCGAAGAACAUCACUGUUUGCUCUUAGGCUCAAUUUAAGCAGCGUUUUGUUUACACGCUUUGUGAUUGAAUGUAUCAA